rnacentral:lncRNA from 1 species
CACCAUUCAAUAAACCAAUGCAAAAACCAAAAUUUACCUGUAAGGGGAACUCUUUGGAACGCACAGAUAAUUAUCAUACCACCCGUUCUUGCGCAGCUCUCGCGGUUCAUUGAUGAGCACGCAUCGCAUAUGCCGAAUUGGUCCAUAAUCUGACCAUUUCAUAUUAAUAUCCUGGCGUCCCGGGCGGCUGCAGAAGUAGUAAUUGUUCCAUUGAAAAUAGUUGGAUCUCUCGUAAGUCCUAAUGCAGGUCGAAGUUGAAGGUGUAUAAUGAUGAUAGCGAUAUGUAAAGUCUUCUGGCCAUUUGGGUAAAUCUAAA